rnacentral:lncRNA from 1 species
UCGAUUAACGCAUAAUUAAAUGCACGAAGUACAAGGGAUUCCUUCUAAUUCCGUAAAUACUCAGGAUAAUAGCUAAAUCCGCAAACGAGAAAAAAUUACGGUCUAAAUCAGUGGGCGCAACAUCGUGAAUUAUCACCCACAUCGUGUGAUAGGGGGUGGGGCUGGGUUCUCAAUAGAGGGGGCUAUGGCCUAGGCGCUGGCGAUCUCGGCAUUGGCUCUGGCUAGCUCAGGCGAGCGAGUGGGUCGGCAAUGCUGGCAGAGGACAAUGAGGCGUGGGAGGGGGCCUAACCACUCCUCUCUCCCGAUCCGAUCGGAACGAAGGCAGAGGUGUUGGCUGAGUGGUCCACGGCGCCGGUGGCCAAAGGCGUGGACGAGGCGGCGUGCAACGGUGUACAGAUCCGAAGGCGACGCGGCUUGCUCCAGCGAGGGGCGGACGGCGGCGCUGCUGUAAAGGCACAUCCACACUGGAGGCGGGACGAGCUAUAAGGGGGUCUCCCAUGGUAUGACUGCGGCUACCCUUGGUCAAGGUGGUCAACUGCAGAGGCCCUCCGACAAGGCUGGUGGUCGGAGACGAGGCAACGCACGGGAGCCUGGGCGGCUGUGACCUCGGACGCGGUUGCCGCGACGAACAACGCUGUGGCGGCUUGGGGGUGCGCAGGGAGGAGCGGGUCGGAGAGCACAAGCGCGGGCGGCGUGUAGGCGGCAAGGGGCGGCGCUCGGCCUGGAUCGGGCCCUCCCGGGCCGGAUCUGGGCUCGCAGGCCUAACGGCUCGAGGUCAGAGGUGGAGACGUGUAGGUGGUGGCUGAAGGCGGGUGGUCCUAUACGGCGCUGCACGCGCCCAUUCCGUGUCCUCGCGCGUGCAGCGCCCCAUACUUGGGCGGCCCAAUAACCUUUAACUUCAAUGAAAAAUAAGA